CGCAGGACCAUCCAUGGCUGCUAACAGAAAGGCUGGUUGUGAAGCCAGAUCAGCUGAUCAAACGCAGGGGGAAGCUGGGAUUGGUGGCAGUUGACCUGAACCUUGAGGUUGGUCCAGGAAUGGCUGAAAUCUAAUCUGAUGACAGAAAUCACAAUUGGGAAGGCAAAAGGGAUCUUAAAGAACUUCCUCAUUGAGCCGUUUGUGCCUCACUUACAGGUAUUACAAAUUCAGUUCAAUUUUAUCUUUAUCAGUAUGUUUUUGAGGGUCAUU